UAUUGGACAAUGGGGGAAACCCUGAUCCAGCAAUGCCGCGUGAGUGAUGAAGGCCUUAGGGUUGUAAAGUUCUUUCACCUGUGAAGAUAAUGACGGUAGCAGGAGAAGAAGCCCCGGCUAACUCCGUGCCAGCAGCCGCGGUAAGACGGAGGGGGCUAGCGUUGUUCGGAAUGACUGGGCGUAAAGGGCGCGUAGGCGGUUUUUUAAGUGAGGCGUGAAAGCCCUGGGCUUAACCCAGGAGGUGCGUUUCAUACUGGAAGACUUGAGUACGAGAGAGGAAAGCGGAAUUCCUAGUGUAGAGGUGAAAUUCGUAGAUAUUAGGAAGAACACCAGUGGCGAAGGCGGCUUUCUGGCUCGUAACGGACGCUGAGCGCGAA
rnacentral:rRNA from 1 species